GUCCCAGCUGUGGGGGUGGGCGUGUCCCUUCCGGCUCGAGGGAGGCGUGAGGAGGAUAUUGGCUAGUAGAAGUGAAAUACUGCAGUUGAGAAAAGAGAGAAAGAGGGCAAGAGAAGUUGCCUAGGAGACUACUCCUUGCCAGAGAUGUUACACUGCUUAUGCCACCUGUAUUUUUGAGGUCAUCCGUUUCUGGAACAGCAUUGGAAUCAGAACGCUGGAUGAACACUACAGGAAUAUUCUCAGACACCCAUCCCUUAGGAGUCCUA